GCGGGGGUGCCCGAGCUGGACGAAGGGGGCGGACUUAAGAUCCGUUGGCGAAGGCCUGCGUGGGUUCAAAUCCCACCCCCCGCA
rnacentral:tRNA from 2 species